rnacentral:rRNA from 1 species
UUCCGGUUGAUCCUGCCGGACCUGACUGCUAUCGGAUUGAUACUAAGCCAUGCUAGUCUUUGUAGUAAUACAAGGCAUACGGCUCAGUAACGCGUAGUCAACCUACCCUAUGGACGGGGAUAAUCUCGGGAAACUGAGCAUAAUACCCGGCAGACCACUUAUCCUGGAAUGGUUAGUGGUUAAAAUGAUUCGUCGCCAUAGGAUGGGACUGCGGCCUAUCAGCUUGUUGGUGAGGUAAUGGCCCACCAAGGCGAUUACAGGUACGGGCUCUGAGAGGAGAGGCCCGGAGAUGGGUACUGAGACAAGGACCCAGGCCCUAUGGGGCGCAGCAGGCGAGAAAACUUUGCAAUGUGCGAAAGCACGACAAGGUUAAUCCGAGUGAUUUCUGCUAAAGGAAUCUUUUGUUAGUUCUAAAAAUACUAGUGAAUAAGGGGUGGGCAAGUUCUGGUGUCAGCCGCCGCGGUAAAACCAGCACCUCAAGUGGUCAGGAGGAUUAUUGGGCCUAAAGCAUCCGUAGCCUGUUCUAUAAGUUUGCGGUUAAAUCUAUACGCUCAACGUAUAGGCUGCCGUAAAUACUGUAAAACUAGGGAGUGGGAGAGGUAGACGGUACUCGAUAGGAAGGGGUAAAAUCCUUUGAUCUAUUGAUGACCACCUGUGGCGAAGGCGGUCUACCAGAACACGUUCGACGGUGAGGGAUGAAAGCUGGGGGAGCAAACCGGAUUAGAUACCCGGGUAGUCCCAGCUGUAAACGAUGCAGACUCGAUGAUGCAAUGGCAUAGAGCUAUUGCAGUAUCGCAGGGAAGCCGUUAAGUCUGCCGCCUGGGAAGUACGUACGCAAGUAUGAAACUUAAAGGAAUUGGCGGGGGAGCACCACAAGGGGUGAAGCCUGCGGUUCAAUUGGAGUCAACGCCGGG